GACAGAGAGUAGAGAGCGGAACAGAGCAGAGCUGGAGACACAGAGGGAGCUCGGCCUGAUAGCAGAAGUACCGACGGAAAUGGACAGACCAGGAUGGAAGAUGAGAGAGGGAGGCCAGCGGACCCAGAGACGGGACUCACACAGAGACAGAGUGAAUUCAACAUCGUUGCCACAAGAAGGGUGCCUCUGAAGGGGAGCACUGAACAGCGUGACGUGACAUGAUGUACAUAAUGACAUCAGGGAUAGAUUUUAAACAAACAAUACAUGUUAUCAAACGGUUUUCAAGAGCUGAAAGUAACGGUUGUGUUUGCGUUACUUGGAAAAUGUUGUCAGUUUUUGUGUUUUAUUGCCUGAAUCCCUUGAGUGUGGGAUAUAUGUGUGUCUGAGAAGUGUGCGAAAUUCACAUGGGGCAUGUGUGUGAGAAGUGUGCGUAAUGCGCAUGGGGCAUGUGUGUGAGAAGUGUACGUAAUGCGCAUGGGGCAUGUGUGUGAGAAGUGAGCGUAAUGCGCAUGGGGCAUGUGUGUGAGUGUGAAGAUCAUUUGAUUUUGACAGCAGAUGUUGAGUGACCUGAACAGCAACCCUAUUAGAGACUGAGUCUGACUAUGACAGGUUGUGGAAUCUUGGGGCUCCUUGCACAGAAAGGAACACACAUGUCACACCGCAUGCCAGCAAGCACACACAUACACACACACACACAUGCGCCAGUACACCACCAUGGACAAGCCACACCGAACAGACACACACAAGAUGACAUUUCAGUCAUUUAGCAACUUCAAGUGAGGGCAUACAUUUCAAGAUGAAUAGGUGGAGCUACUCAGUAGGAGUAGGGAUCUGUGAGCUUA